rnacentral:tRNA from 1 species
AGCUAUAUAAUUUAAAAUAAAAUAUUAAUUUUGUAAAUUAAAAAUAAAAAAUUUUUAUAGCUA